rnacentral:misc_RNA from 1 species
UACAGAGGGUGCGAGCGUUAAUCGGAAUUACUGGGCGUAAAGGGCGCGUAGGUGGAUUGGAUAGCCGGAUGUGAAAGCCCCAGGCUUAACCUGGGAAUUGCAUUCGAAACUUCCAGUCUAGAAUACAGUAGAGGGUAGUGGAAUUUCCGGUGUAGCGGUGAAAUGCGUAGAGAUCGGAAGGAACAUCAGUGGCGAAGGCGACUACCUGGACUGAUAUUGACACUGAGGCGCGAAAGCGUGGGGAGCAAACAGG